ensembl:lncRNA
CGAGGAACCUUUUGAGUCGGUGUCAUAUUUCAUGCACUACAGGCGGUUGCAGAUUGCAGCACUAAUUGCCUGUGUGUAUUCUAGACAUCCAUGUUGACACGUAUCAACGUAUCGACGUGACAUUGAACUGUUUAAAAUGUGAUAUAGGAAGUCCUCCUCCUGGCAUGCUUAAACAACGACAGUGUGUGACUACCAACAGUUCUCUGAUUUUCUGAGGUGCAUCUACGAGACGGAGAGAUCAUAUUUUUUACACGUGACUGGGGUAUGACCAUGUGGUUCUUCUUUCUGUUAGUUUGUGUUAAUGAAUCCAAAUUAUGAUAUGUUGUAAUUCAAAGGUACUUACAAGAACACCAUAGUUCUUGAUCAGUACUCAGAUGAUAGAUCACUACAAGAUCUGAAAGAAGGACAAAUCCUGUUUAAUAUCCUAUCCAUACAUUAUAUAAAUCAAUUCAUAAUCUCACAAUGUAAAAGGAAUGUGACAUGUAGGCAAUCUGGCAGGUAAAUAUUGAAGGCACAAAGUAUUUUUUUAAUUAUUUUAUGAUAUCAAUUGAAGCCAGAAAAGACCUGUGUCUGUGUGUCAGCAGAAUGUUGAGCAGAAGCAGUUUAAAGAAGAUGCAUUUAAGACUAAGACAUGAUAUAAAUAAACCCUCUGUGUCUGCACAAAAAAAAAGUAGUGGAUGGUGAAAAAUGUCUGUGAUUGUGCACUGAAACAUUUUUCAUUUUUCUGUUUGGUUAAAAAAACCUUUUGACUUUGUUCCGGUUUGAUUAAAUAGCUUUUUGUCUUAGUUUAACUUUGCUGUACAACCAGUCUCUUUCCUUCAGGUUUGGCUAAGGAACCAGUCUCUUUCCUUCAUGUUUGGCUAAGGAACCAGUCUCUUUCCUUCAGGUUUGGCUAAGGAACCAGUCUCUUUCCUUCAGGUUUGGCUAAGGAACCAGUCUCUUUCCUCCAUGUUUGGCUAAGGAACCAGUCUCUACUCCUCUGACUGGCCUCCAGUCUUCAUGUCCUUGCUCUUCUGUGCUUUGCUAACCUGUAUCAGUUGUGCCAUUUUAGGUGUUCAUAUGGUUUCUGUUUGGCUUCAAAUAAAUGUUGAAUGUAGUCACUUAAGUCAUUCCCUGAGGUGCUCAGACAAGGUUGUUAUUUGCUUCCACGAUCACAAGGCUAAUUCUCCAAGGUAUCACGCUGAAAAACUUCAACAAGUUUAACAAUGAAUUUCCAUUGUCUCCGUUUCUCUCUCUCCCUCUGAGUGUUUCUCUUUCUUUUACACAUACCUCUUCUUCUUUCUCCCUGCUCACACCUC